CUCAACCUGGGAACUGCAUUCAAAACUGACUGACUAGAGUAUGGUAGAGGGUGGUGGAAUUUCCUGUGUAGCGGUGAAAUGCGUAGAUAUAGGAAGGAACACCAGUGGCGAAGGCGACCACCUGGACUGAUACUGACACUGAGGUGCGAAAAGCGUGGGGAGCAAACGGGAUUAGAUACCCUGGUAGUCCACGCCGUAAAACGAUGUCAACUAGCCGUUGGUAGCCUUGAGCUCUUAGUGGCGCAGCUAACGCAUUAAGUUGACCGCCUGGGGAGUACGGCCGCACGGUUAAAACUCAAAUGAAUUGACGGGGGCCCGCACAAGCGGUGGAGCAUGAGGUUUAAUUCGAAGCAACGCGAAGAACCUUACCAGGCCUUGACAUCCAAUGAACUUUCUAGAGAUAGAUUGGUGCCAUCGGGAACAUUGAGACAGGUGCUGCAUGGCUGUCGUCAGCUCGUGUCGUGAGAUGUUGGGUUAAGUCCCGUAACGAGCGCAACCCUUGUCCUUAGUUACCAGCACGUAAUGGUGGGCACUCUAAGGAGACUGCCGGUGACAAACCGGAGGAAGGUGGGGAUGACGUCAAGUCAUCAUGGCCCUUACGGCCUGGGCUACACACGUGCUACAAUGGUCGGUACAGAGGGUUGCCAAGCCGCGAGGUGGAGCUAAUCCCAGAAAACCGAUCGUAGUCCGGAUCGCAGUCUGCAACUCGACUGCGUGAAGUCGGAAUCGCUAGUAAUCGCGAAUCAGAAUGUCGCGGUGAAUACGUUCCCGGGCCUUGUACACACCGCCCGUCACACCAUGGGAGUGGGUUGCACCAGAAGUAGCUAGUCUAACCUUCGGGAGGACGGUUACCACGGUGUGAUUCAUGACUGGGGUGAAGUCGUAACAAGGUAGCCG
rnacentral:rRNA from 1 species